rnacentral:rRNA from 1 species
AGCGUAGGCGGACUUUUAAGUGGGAUGUGAAAUACCCGGGCUCAACCUGGGUGCUGCAUUCCAAACUGGAAGUCUAGAGUACAGGAGGGGAAAGUGGAAUUCCUAGUGUAGCGGUGAAAUGCGUAGAGAUUAGGAAGAACACCAGUGGCGAAGGCGACUUUCUGGACUGUAACUGACGCUGAGGCUCGAAAGCGUGGGGAGCAAACA